rnacentral:rRNA from 1 species
GUGGACGCAUCACUGGUGUUCGGGUUGUCAUGCCAAUGGCACUGCCCGGUAGCUAAAUGCGGAAGAGAUAAGUGCUGAAAGCAUCUAAGCACGAAACUUGCCCCGAGAUGAGUUCUCCCUGACCCUUUAAGGGUCCUGAAGGAACGUUGAAGACGACGACGUUGAUAGGCCGGGUGUGUAAGCGCAGCGAUGCGUUGAGCUAACCGGUACUAAUGAACCGUGAGGCUUAACCUUACAACGCCGAAG